rnacentral:lncRNA from 1 species
UAACUACUAUAUAUUUUCAGAAUCCAUGAUUCUUACAUCUUUAUGAGAUUUAAUUAAUUUAUCUUUUAAAACAACUUUUUAAUCGCCUGUCUUGCUAUCCUGGUUCCUCCUUCCACAGGAAGCCCUGGCUGCCUUUGGCACUUGUACUGGUCUGUGUUUCAGGGUGUGCCUGGUCUGAGGCCAAGGCUCUGGGAAGCAGGGGUGGUUUACUAAAGACAGAAGAAGAUUGGAGAGAGGUGACUGGGUCCCUUCUUUCUUCACCGCUUUAUGCUUUUCACUCCAUUUCUACCUUGACACAUUUCUGAAACUUGGCUUUUAACUCUUGUUUGGAGCAGUUUCUGCCUUGCUUGGGUCUAAUAGUUUUCCUGGAAAUGCUGAGAAGAUGUCUAAGUUGCUUCCAGUUCUGAACACCUUCCCUAGACCUCUGCAGGACCCUUAUAAUAGAGUUGCUUUAGAAGAGCACUUUAAUUAGAUAAUGGCCUUUGGACUAGGUCACAGGCAUGCACAGUACAGGCUUCUCAGUGGUCCCAAAGGACCAGCAAUGGAGCAUCUCUCAGCCCGUGCUGAUUCUUUGCAUUUUAAACUGAUAUAGCAG